UACGUAGGGUGCAAGCGUUGUCCGGAUUUAUUGGGCGUAAAGAGCGUGUAGGCGGCCUGAAAGGUCAGCUGUGAAAACUCGAGGCUCAACCUCGAGACGUCGGUUGAAACCAUCUGGCUAGAGUCCGGAAGAGGAGAGUGGAAUUCCCGGUGUAGCGGUGAAAUGCGCAGAUAUCGGGAAGAACACCCGUGGCGAAGGCGGCUCUCUGGGACGGUACUGACGCUGAGACGCGAAAGCGUGGGGAGCGAACAGG
rnacentral:rRNA from 1 species